rnacentral:ncRNA from 1 species
AGGAUAACCGCUGAAAGCAUCUAAGCGGGAAGCCCCUCCCAAGAUGAGUUCUCACUGGGACUUUAAGUUCCCUGAAGGGCCGUCGAAGACUACGACGUUGAUAGGCACGGUGUGGAAGCGCAGUAAUGUGUGUAGCUAACGUGUACUAAUUGCCCGUGAGGCUUGACCAU